GCGGGCGGUGGUGGCGCUUGCGCUCGACGACCGUUUCGCGCGCAUAUCGACAGCUCCUUCCCCGGACGGCGUCGGCGGUCAGUGCGACUCUGAGGCUUUGCGAGAUGCGACCGUCUGCUGCCGCCUACCGCCGUUGCCGAUGACUCGCGAUAGGCCUUUGUCACGACAUUUGAGUUUCGUGUCCGUUUCAUCCGCCGACAGUGGCGGACGUUUAGACGCUACACCGGUACAUCAAAGGCCAUCACCAUUUACUGUUGGUUGAGCUCGUCGUCUCCCACGGGGAGACAUAACUAUGGACCGUCCGCGCUGGGUGGCAAGAGAGGCACCUUCCCGAACGUCGCCAUGCAGGAAGUGGAGAGGGCCAAAGCUAGACAUAUGGCGAAAAAACAAAACAGCAAAGUAGAACGUCAGAAAUCAUCAGACAAAACAUUAUCCAAAGCACCAAGUAUUGAGACCAAAAAACAAGAAAAAUGACAAACAAUAUUCACAUAUUAAAGAUUUUAUUUUUUUAGCACUCUCACUGAAAAUGAUAACAACACUGUAAUUCGUAAUCAAAUAUACUUCUUUAAGUACACUAUAAUAUUGUUAUUGUAAUUUAUAAUACACAUCAUAAUUUCAUUGUAUAUUUACAUAAUAAUGAUCGUGUUAAUUUUACCUUAAAUUUUAUCACGUUUCGUGUAUUCAAUGACCAAAAAUAUUUUGUAACGUUUAGAGUGCAGAACAACUAUUAUAAUAGUAUUGCAUUAUUAUACCUAUUUGUUGUAUAAUAAUAUUAUGUCACACAUAUGGUUUUUUUUUUUGUAAAUUUAAAGCUCAAACAUCUUUGAAUGUUUAAUAAUACUACUUAUAUACGUAUUUUGUAAGCGUCUUAGACUCUUAGACGUAUGUCACACACAAUUAUAUUUAUAUUAUACUAUUAUAUUUAUAGACGUAUGUAAUACGAAUGGAAAUAAAUGAAUACAACUCCAUUUUAACAAUGUUUACGAUUUAUACUCUCGUAAUCUAAAAUGAAUAGACUACAAUAUAUUUUAUUCAUAACGACUUAAUGGCUUGUACGUAUUUUCGUCCAUUAUUUUUUUCGGUAGAUAUGUGAGUUUAUACAUUGCAUUUUUAUCCAACUUCUGCAAUUCAUUGAAAUAUAAAUAUUGUUCAUAUAUUUAAUCAAUCGAACAAAAUAUCUUUACUGAUAUUAGUACAUUUUUCAUUAAUUUAUAUUAGAUAACAUUAUGUAUUCUAUGUAUUUAUACUACAUAGAAAUGUUCACUUAAGAAAUGCUUAACAAUUUUUUAUCAUUACAAUUGAUUUUACAAUCGAUAUUAGUUACCUAAUAAUUAAUAUUAUUAUUAAUUUGUAUAAAUAAUACACGAAAAUCUACCUACAACAAAAAAUAAUUUUCAAAUGUAAAAUACUAAAAUCCAUACUAUAUAUUUAAAUAUAUUUUGGUAUAUUACCAAUACAGUAAAAUAUGACCUAGUAAGCUUUAUAAAAAACAUUUAAAUGCGUUGAUUAAUGCUUGGGUUGUGGUGCUGUUGUUAAUGUCAGCUUGACGUGAUCAAAAACAAAUUGGGUACUUAAUAAAUGAAUGGGCGAAAAAAAAAUGGUCGAAAUGUCGUGAACAAAACAGUCCAAGAACAGUUUUUAUGAUGGCUGGGAAUUUAUCAAACUGUCUGUGGUCGGAUAUGCAAGAAAAAUCAAUACCCAUAUAGAAACACUAAAAACACAUUAUUUUAUUAAAACAAUAACUUAUGAAUGUAGCGUUUUUUUAUUUAUUUAACAUUCCUUUAUUUUCUGCCUAUAUGAAAUAUAACAUACUGUGUGUUUUGGCUUAGAAGCCAAGUCAAAUAUUGUGACAUAAUAUUAUUGAUCUACUUUGCGAUUGAAAUAUAAAACGAUGUCGAAAACACGACAAUAAAUCAACGAUAAAAGGUCAUGAAAUAAUAUAUUCUAUUACUUAUGGUGACAUUUUCCGUUUCUUUUUACAUUCUAUGUAUAGGAAACUUAUGUAUAAAAUAAUAUUAUACUCGGACGAGUGAGACGACAACCGCCGCGUGGGAUGUGUCAUCGGUGUAAAUAUAGAAACAAUAAUAAUAUGCAUCACGCGUUUAUUUGUCGUGUCCUCGCUUCCGGUCGAAACAUAACGAAUCUUGGAAAUCAAUAAUUUGAAAUGGACGAGUAAAAAGCAUGGCAUGUACUGA